GUUUAUAAUUUUGUACAUUGGUACGGUUGACAUUCUGUUACAUUCGAGUGUGGAAAAUUGCCUCGGAGGUCACGUUGUAUCCAGCCGUGUUCCAAGUAAGAUGUUCACAGGUGUGUGGAUUUGCGCCCCGAGUGUUCACAUGCAUGUUACUGCCAGCACAACUUGAGACGACUUGAAGUUUCAUUAAUGAUCCUUCCGCAGGUUCACCUACGGAAA
rnacentral:misc_RNA from 1 species